rnacentral:lncRNA from 1 species
AUGACGGGUAUUAACGUUUUCCAGACGCCUUCCUUCUUGAACCUUUAUUCUCCAGAUCAAAGUGAUUGUCUUGGAUUAAUUAUUCAUUCCUGGAAAUCUUCUAGAAGUUUCUAUGCAGUGUUUCUGCACACCUCCCUUACCCCUGUGAUCAGAUGUGACGACCAGCUCGUCACUUUAGAAACCUUUUUAGCAAAUGCUGUAAACUCACAUUGCUUUAUUACUGUGACACACAAAAUGAACUAAACUAUUCUGACCUGUGCAGCAGCAAAGUCUACGUUUCUGACUCCAACUGCUAACUAUGAAUCUCACUUUGGUUCAUUUCACUGACCCCUGAAGCAACUGUGGAGGACGGAAGCAGCCAAAAUUCCCACAAUUGUAAGAAAAAAAUCCAUAAAAAUGUCAUAUUUUACAAAUAUGAAUUAUUUUAAUAAUGCCAGAUAUUGAUAGGUCUACUGUCAUAUGUAACUCUUGAGUUUUUAUAGAUUCCUUUGAAUAAAAGAUUUUAUUAGGUAUUGUUUUUUGCAUGUUUGGAAAAAAAGAAUCGCUUACAAAAACAAAAGAAGAUGCACAUCUGUCAUGUUUGGUUCUUCCACAUCGAUCCGUCUGUGUGCUCUCUGCACACGGAGUGUUUGUUUCUGACAGCCAAUUUCCAAUUUCCAGAGUGUGAAGAGAAGAAAACUGUGACAUUACCGUACAAAAAUCUGUCUAAUCUAGAAAAAAGGCGGAUUAAGCAAAGCCAUUUUUUUUUACAAUCCCAACAUCAACAAUAUUGUCCAACUGUUCCCAUUAAAUGAACACCUUCUACUUAUAAACUAAACAAUAAAAGCCUAAUUUAAAAAUGUAAAUAAUAACAUUAACUUACAAAAGAAACUUUUUUUAAACACUAAUAAAUAAAUAAAAAUACAGCAUAGCAUUUUAAAAAUAAUGAUUGCCUCUGAACUGUAACCAUACAUGUAUUUAUUUUCCAUCUAAUAAUCUACAUGAUCAGUAUUUUUUCCAUGUUGGCAGCCUCCGUCCUCCAUAGCUAGCCUCCCAGCCACUGGAAACAUCAAUAACCUGAUUUGAUGAAGUUUGCGCGCAAGCAGCUGCGCUCCCCGGUGUCACAUUCCACUCAAACAGAAGCUCAAACGCAGAAAAACGCACCACAAAAUCCCGCAUUCACCCUCAAAACGCGCGUUUGAACCCGCCAGGCUCGCUAGCUAGCAAAUGCUACGGUCCCCAGCUGUGUGUGCGCGGCCAGCCAGACGGAGGCUGUGUGAUGUCUGAGUGACGGGAGUGGGAUUCGGACUACAGAAGCAGGCUCCAGCAUCACGCGUCCGCCGCGCAGCUCCGGACAUUUGAGAGCGUUCCGGCCGCCGGUUCCUUACGUGAUGUCGGUGUUCUGAGGAACGCUCUGAUCCGGCGGCGGCGCGGGAGGGGGUGAUGAUGCUCGGCGGAGUACGGCUCGGGGUUUCUCUUCUUUCUCCGGAGUGGCUCUGCGCUGUCCCGGAGCGUCCCGGUGCUCCCGUUCCACUCGCCCUCCAGCGGAGAAUGAGCGGCCCCGGAGCGCUUUGAUCAGGAACCCCUUCUCCAGACAGGCAGCGCGACCCCCCCCUGCCUGCCUCCCUCCCUCCCUCUCUCCCACGGCCUCCACCACAGCCAACCUUAAGCCCCUGCGCGUACGCGGUCGUACUCGUGCGCGCACGGCCUUGCGUGUACGUUUGGAGCGGUGCGCAAAUGAGUGAAUGAGUGUGCCUUGGGUUGACAGAGGAGUGAGUCAUCCAGCAGGGCUCCACUUAGCUCCUCCCCCCCGAACAGCUGACUGCUUCGGCGUUCAUGAAGACAAACACCGCCCCCCCCCCCCACCGCCAUGUUUUCACCUCAGUUCUUCUAUUAGUGCGCUUCUUUUAGCCUCAUUCUAGACUUUGAAUCCUAUUUUAGAAACAAUCUGCUAUUUGGGUCUACUUUCAAUGCUUUAGAAGAAGAAAAUAUGUGAAAUCUCUGUUUAUGAGGUCAUGCCAAACAUUUUCAUGUCAGGAAUAUUCGAAUAAUGUUGCUCUUGUGAAGGAAGCCUGAGAAAAUACAAAGAAAUGAUGCCCCAAACUUUGCCGUUCUGCCAUAUUUCUCCUGAAUCCAUGCUUAGUUUUCAAUAAAAACUACAGAAUUAUGAUUUUACUUUUGUGCACUGUAAAAAGCCAGUAGAAAUAAGUUAAAAUAAAUCUUAAAAUGUUAAAAAUUUCUUUAAAAAGUAAAAAUCUGCCAAAGGGUUUAGAAAAACGGUCCCACUACAAACUUUAAUUUAAAUAACAAAAUAUUAGUCACAGACUAUUUGUUAUUAAAAAGGGGUAUUUAAUAAGAAUUGUUUUACUCUUGAAACAAGAACCUUUUCAUUCUUUAAUACUUGAAGAAUCGGUUUCUGCAGGGUACCACUCGUUCACAGAACACAACAAACUAAAUAACACAGAAGCAAAUGUGCAGCAGGAUGCAAGAAAAAUCAGUAAAAGUGAUGAAAAACACUCAAAAGAACAAAAUAUCUUUGCCUUUUUAAUAAAUGCUUUAGGAUAUGAAAUCUCAGCCGUUAUCUUUUUGUGGUCAGUGAUGAACGGGAUUUCAUCCAAACCAGAAUAAGGUUAGGUAUUCGUUUUAGAUUCAGGAUUAAGGCUGGAUUGAUCAACUAUCAAUGGGAUAGUUGGGGCAAAAAAGAAGGGGUUUGGGAUUGAAUUUGGGGUAACAGAGACAUGUCACUAUGUGUCUUUUAAGCUAUUUGUGUGAUGGCUUAGUGAACUUGCUAAGUAUAAUGUUAAUUAUCUUUUCACAAUAUUUCUAUUAUUAGUGCUGUUCUUUUUGCCAAAUUCUUGAUUUUUAUUCCUGUUUUAGAAGCAAUCUGCUGUUUUGGUUUUCUUUAAAUGCUUUGGAGAAGAAGAAAUACAUAAAACUUUGUUUAUAAGCCCAUAACCACGAGAAAAGUUAUCAAUGGAAGAACAUUUUGAUGUAGAAUAUUUUGUAUUGUUGCUCUCAUGUAAAAGAUGUAAAAAAACAAAAUAAAAGUUUCCAAAACUUUGCAGUCCUGCAGUAUUUUCAUAAUUUCGUAAUU